GAUGAACGCUGGCGGCGUGCCUAAUACAUGCAAGUCGAGCGAACAGAUGAGGAGCUUGCUCCUCUGACGUUAGCGGCGGACGGGUGAGUAACACGUGGAUAACCUACCUAUAAGACUGGGAUAACUUCGGGAAACCGGAGCUAAUACCGGAUAAUAUAUUGAACCGCAUGGUUCAAUAGUGAAAGACGGUUUUGCUGUCACUUAUAGAUGGAUCCGCGCCACAUUAGCUAGUUGGUAAGGUAACCGCUUACCAAGGCAACGAUGCGUAGCCGACCUGAGAGGGUGAUCGGCCACACUGGAACUGAGACACGGUCCAGACUCCUACGGGAGGCAGCAGUAGGGAAUCUUCCGCAAUGGGCGAAAGCCUGACGGAGCAACGCCGCGUGAGUGAUGAAGGUCUUCGGAUCGUAAAACUCUGUUAUUAGGGAAGAACAAAUGUGUAAGUAACUAUGCACGUCUUGACGGUACCUAAUCAGAAAGCCACGGCUAACUACGUG
rnacentral:rRNA from 1 species